AACCAGGUUUGGUUCUAAAAUAA
rnacentral:siRNA from 1 species